rnacentral:rRNA from 1 species
GAUGAACGCUGGCGGCGUGCCUAAUACAUGCAAGUCGAGCGAACAGACGAGGAGCUUGCUCCUCUGACGUUAGCGGCGGACGGGUGAGUAACACGUGGAUAACCUACCUAUAAGACUGGGAUAACUUCGGGAAACCGGAGCUAAUACCGGAUAAUAUAUUGAACCGCAUGGUUCAAUAGUGAAAGACGGUUUUGCUGUCACUUCUAGAUGGAUCCGCGCCGCAUUAGCUAGUUGGUAAGGUAACGGCUUACCAAGGCAACGAUGCGUAUCCGACCUGAGAGGGUGAUCGGCGGCACUGGAACUGAGACACCGUCCAGACUCCUACGGGAGGCAGCAGUAGGGAAUCUGCCGCAAUGGGCGAAAGCCUUACGGAGCAACGCCGCGUGAGUGAUGAAGGUCUUCGGAUCGUAAAACUCUGUUAUUGGGGAAGAACAAAUGUGUAAGUAACUAUGCACGUCUUGACGGUACCUAGUCAGAAAGCCACGGCUAACUACGUG